rnacentral:rRNA from 1 species
GACAGAGGCCUCGAGCGUUAGGCGGAAUCACUGGGCUUAAAGCGUGUGUAGGCGGGCCCGUAAGUGUCUUGUGAAAUCCCUCGGCUCAACCGGGGAACUGCGUGUGAUACUGAAGAUCUUGAGUUCGGGAGAGGUGAGUGGAACUGCGAGUGUAGAGGUGAAAUUCGUAGAUAUUCGCAAGAACACCAGUGGCGAAGGCGGCUCACUGGCCCGAUACUGACGCUGAGGCACGAAAGCGUGGGGAGCAAACAGGG